rnacentral:tRNA from 1 species
GUUGUGGCUCAGCGGUAGAAUGUUCUCCUAGCACGUGUGAGGCACUGGGUUCAAUUCCCAGCACACA